AGCCUCCCCCCUCCCAUGCCCCACGCGGCUCCGGGCCCCCCGCUAUGUCACCACCCCGCCCCCCGCGCACCCCGCAGUGAUAACCGGAGCGAGCGGGGCCUCUCUGAGCCGCGCUGUCCGCGUCCCCUGAGCGCAGCGCCAGCCGAGCGCUCCAUGCGGCGGCGGGGCGAGCGCGGUCUGCGGCCCCCGGGGCGCGCGGCACUGUGGGCGCUGCUGCUGGCGCAGCUCGGCGCGCAGGUGAGUGCAAGCCCGAGUCCGAGUCCGAGUUCGAGCACUGGUGGUCGCCCGAGUCCGCGACACAGCUCGUGCCCCGUCCCCCGCGCGCUCACCGCCUCGCUCUCCCCGCAGACACCUGCCUGCGCUGUGGGACCCGCAGCAGCCGCGCCCCGGAGCGCGGGCGUCGCGCGUCGCCCAUGGGAGCCCCCUGGCUGGGAGGAGAAGGCUGAGUAUGACCUGGUGUCCGCCUACGAGGUCAACCACAGAGGAGACUACGUGUCCCAUGACAUCACGCACCACCAGAGGCGGCGAAGAGCAGCAGCCCUGCAGGCUGGGGACUCCCUGCACCUCCGGGUCAAGGGCGCCAGGCACGACUUCCACAUGGAUCUGAGAGCCUCCAGCCACCUGGUGGUUCCCGGGUUCGUGGUGCAGACGCUGGGGAAGGGAGGUACCAAGUCCGUGCAGACCUUCGUGCCAGAGGACUUCUGCUUCUAUCAGGGCUCCUUGCGGUCUCACAGGAACUCCUCGGUGGCCCUUUCCACCUGCCAAGGUUUGUCGGGCUUGAUAAGGACGGAGGAGGCUGACUACAUCCUAAAGCCACUUCCCCCACACCUGGCAGGGAAGCUGAAUGGCUCCGCCCAGGGCGGCCCUGCCUCCCACCUGCUGUACAAGAGAUCCACAGAUGCCAGGGCUCCGCAGGCCAACGAGGUCCUGAUGGUCUCCAGGCGCCGGGAGCUUCCCAGACUGCACCCACAUGGUGGCAGCUACAACCCACGGCGGCUCCCACAAAAGCAGCAUUUCUGUGGAAGGCGCAAGAAAUACAUGCCGCAGCCCCCCCAGGACGACCUGUUCAUCCUGCCUGAUGAGUAUAAGCCCUGCUCGCGACAGAGGCGCUCCCUGCUCAAGUCCCACAGAAAUGAAGAGCUGAAUGUGGAGACGCUGGUGGUGGUGGACAAGACCAUGAUGCAAAGCCAUGGACACGAGAACAUCACCACCUACGUGCUGACCAUCCUCAACAUGGUGUCUGCAUUAUUCAAGGAUGGAACCAUAGGCGGGAACAUCAACAUUGCUGUUGUUGGCCUCAUUCUGCUGGAAGAUGAGCAGCCAGGGCUGGUGAUAAGUCACCAUGCGGACCACACCUUAAGCAGUUUCUGCCAGUGGCAGUCUGGGCUGAUGGGGAAAGACGGGACCCGCCACGACCACGCGAUCUUGCUGACGGGCCUAGACAUAUGUUCGUGGAAGAAUGAGCCGUGUGACACUCUGGGGUUCGCGCCCAUCAGCGGGAUGUGCAGCAGGUACCGCAGCUGCACCAUUAACGAAGACACGGGACUUGGCCUGGCCUUCACCAUCGCCCACGAGUCCGGGCACAACUUCGGUAUGGUCCAUGAUGGAGAAGGGAACAUGUGCAAAAAGUCAGAGGGCAACAUCAUGUCCCCAACACUGGCAGGACGCAACGGCGUCUUCUCCUGGUCACCCUGCAGCCGCCAGUAUCUGCACAAAUUUUUGAGCACUGCGCAAGCCACAUGCCUCGCUGACCAGCCCAAGCCCGGCAAGGAGUACAAAUACCCUGAGCAGCUGCCGGGAGAGUUAUACGACGCUAACACCCAGUGCAAGUGGCAGUUCGGAGAGAAAGCCAAGCUCUGCAUGCUGGACUUUAAAAAGGACAUCUGCAAAGCCCUGUGGUGCCAUCGGAUCGGGAGAAAGUGUGAGACGAAGUUCAUGCCAGCCGCGGAGGGCACCCAGUGCGGGCCGGACAUGUGGUGCCGCGGAGGACAGUGCGUGAAGUACGGGGACGAAGGUCCCAAGCCCACGCACGGCCACUGGUCGGACUGGUCGCCCUGGUCCCCCUGCUCCAGGACCUGCGGGGGAGGCGUGUCGCACAGGGAUCGCCUCUGCUCCAACCCCAGACCGUCCCACGGAGGGAAGUUUUGUGAGGGCUCCACGCGUACCCUGAGGCUCUGCAACAGCCGUAAGUGUCCCCAGGACAGUGUGGACUUCCGCGCUGCCCAGUGUGCCGAGCACAACAGCAAGCAGUUCCGCGGGUGGCGCUACAAGUGGAAACCAUACACUCAGGUGGAAGAUCAGGACUUAUGCAAACUCUACUGUAUCGCAGAAGGAUUUGAUUUCUUCUUUUCUUUGUCAAAUAAAGUGAAAGAUGGGACCCCAUGCUCGGAGGAUAGCCGUAAUGUUUGUAUAGAUGGGAUAUGUGAGAGAGUUGGCUGUGACAAUAUCCUUGGAUCUGAUGCUGUUGAGGACUCCUGUGGAGUGUGCAGGGGAAAUAACUCGGAUUGUGUGACUCACAAGGGUGUCUACAGCAAGCCCCACCACACCAACCAGUAUUAUCACAUGGUCUCCAUUCCCUCUGGAGCCCGGAGUAUUCGCAUCUAUGAGAUGAAUGUAUCUACUUCUUACAUUUCUGUGCGCAAUGUCUUCAGAAGGUACUACCUGAACGGACAGUGGACUGUAGAUUGGCCAGGAUGGUACAAGUUUUCAGGCACUGCUUUUGAGUACAGACGGUCCUAUAAGGAGCCCGAGAGCUUAACUUCCACUGGACCGACCAAUGAAACGCUCAUCGUGGAGCUUCUGUUCCAGGGCAAGAAUCCGGGUGUGGCCUGGGAAUUUUCGCUGCCCAGGUCCAGUGCAGAGAAGAAGUCCGCAGCUCAGCCUCGCUACACGUGGGCCAUUGUGCGCUCCGCAUGCUCCGUGUCCUGUGGAGGGGGGCACAUGAUCACAAAGGGAGGCUGCUACCGAGACCUGAGUUUCCAAGUGAACACUUCCUUCUGCAACCCCAGGACCCGGCCGGCCACAGGACUGGUGCCCUGCAGAGUGUCCGCCUGUCCUCCCAGCUGGACUGUGGGGAACUGGAGCGCCUGCAGCCGGACGUGCGGCGGGGGCACUCAGAGCCGGCAAGUGCAGUGCACCCGCCGGGCACGCUACGACUUGCAGCCAGUGGUGGCCAGCCUGUGUCCACAGCCUGCGCCCCCCAGCCAGCAGGCCUGCAACCCCCAGGGCUGCCCACCUGCAUGGAGCACGGGGCCGUGGGCAGAGUGCUCCCGGACCUGUGGCAAGGGCUGGAGGAAGAGGACCCUGGUCUGCAAGAGCACCAACCCCUCAGCCCGCGCCCAGCUGCUGCCCGAAGCCAUGUGCGUGGCAGAGCCCAAGCCCAGGACACACGAGGCCUGCCUGCUCCAGCGCUGCCACAAACACAAGAAGCUGCAGUGGCUGGUGUCCGCCUGGUCCCAGUGCUCCGUCACGUGCGGAAGCGGAACCCAGAGACGGUUCCUAAAAUGUGCCGAAAAGUACGCUUCGGGGAAGUACCGCGAGCUGGCCUCCAAGAAGUGCUCGCGUUUGCCGCAGCCCGACCUGGAGCUGGAGCGCACCUGCACCCCGUUUCCGUGCCCGCCGCGGUCCUCGCACACAGCCUCGGGCCCCCCAGGGAGUGGCUGGUUCGUCUCUCCCUGGUCUCAGUGCACAGCCAGCUGUGGAGGUGGUGUGCAGAGGAGGACCGUGCAGUGCCUGGCAGGGGCCCGGCCAGCCUCUGACUGCCCCCCGCACCAGAAGCCUGAAGCCUCCCUGGCCUGCAAUACCCACUUCUGCCCCAUCACAGAGAAGAAAGUUUUCUAAUGACAGUCACAAAGCAGAGCCUGCCAUCCUCAUGCUGCCCAAGAAAGGACAGGCACCUUCUGCAAAGACGCCUUCCCCUGGUGCAACCUGGUGCCGCAGCACGGCAUGUGCAGCCACAGAUUCUAUGGCAAGCAGUGCUGCAGGGCUUGCUCCAAGUCCAACCUGUGAGUUGGGUCACUGCCACAGCAGAGAGGAGGCACGUGAGCUGGAAAUAUCAGCGUGAAGGGGCCGGGCAGUGCGCACUGGAGCACAUCCAGCAAAGAGCAGAGCCGGAAGAGGAGAAACUGUGCUUGGCUCUUUGGCCCGAAGAGUGUGUGUUUGUGCAUGGGGAGAGGCAGACGGGUGGCUGUGCCCUUGCUGGCACACACUGUCCUGUCCCAUGGAAGCGUGGAUCAUGCCUGCUCAAGUGUAGAGAAGGAGCGCUAUACUGCAGAGCACAAACAGCCACACACAGCCAGGUUCAUGGUUCAUCCACACCAAGCCCAAAGGACAGCAGAGGUGGACUUGCUAAUUGCUAAAUGUCUGGUGCUUUGUAAAAAGGAAAAGCCACAAGAUUAGGAAAACGUCUGAAAUAGCUGUCACUAAGUAGACCAUCCUCCCUCCCAAAAGCCUCAGAGGCUCCCACCAUUGGGGUGGGGGAGGUGAGGGGUUUGGGGAGCCCCUGGAUGCUUUUCCAGGCUCUGCCAUAAGAGCCCAGGUCCUUCUCAUUUAGGACUUUGCAUAUGCAGCCUGGGAAGUAAAGUCCCUGGUGAGGUGCUUCCUGCCCUUAGAGCUUACAUGCCAGGGGAGAUUUUACAGUUAAUGUUUUAUCUUUCCAGUUACUGACCAGUGAGAGUUCCUAUUUAAACCUGCUCCCCAUGCUUUUCUGCUUUAAAUUGUGGUUCAGAUUUCAGGUUACAUAACUUUCACCCAGACAGCGUCUAGGCUACCCAGUUGCUGACGGGAUCAUAGCCGCAUGUCCUGGGUUUUGUUGUUGCUGUCUAGAGGGGUUCUUAACUCUAGUCUGUAACUUUGGUGGAGAGGGAAAGCCAGCAGCCUCCCCAGAGGGCCUCCCACUCCUCCCUGGCAUCAUGGGUGCUUAUUUCUGGUCUCCCUGUCUGGCAUGUGACACCUCUGUAGACAGGUACCCGGAUAUUUAUAUUUGCUGAAUUUUAUAAUAAAUUUUAUAUUGUAUGA